AGCUCAAAGUCUAUCCAAAAUGUUUUAUUCCACUCUCCACCUUCUGCCCUAGGAGAACACAGACAGGAAGUAAACAAGCACCUGGUUAGUCAGGCUCUGCUGGCUGAAGCAGGAGCAAAAGUGAGGAAUAGCCUGAUUUCAGGAAGGAAGAAUAACAACAGCCCCAGUAAGAGAACUAAGGCCUCUGGUGUAGGAUGGUCCGGGGAUGAGAGAUCCAACCUGGGAGUCAGGAGAACGGAGUUCAACUCCCCGCUCUACUGCAGACGUGUGUGAUGUAGAAGAAGUCGCUUACUCUCUGUGCCCUCAUCUGUAAAAGAGGAAUAACAGGCCUGCCUGUUAAAUACUAGCGAGAUAAGCCGCACUCCUGCAUGCUGAGGUCCCUUCAGCUCCUGCAAGCUAAGCCGAAUUGGGCCCAGUCAACCCCCAGGGUUUACAGUUUGGUUCAAUGGCUCCCAGCAUCCCCACUGUACAAAUUGUUCCAGCACCACUGCUCUGCGCACACACUCCACAGCUGGAGCCAGCAUAAACCCAGUUUCUCUCCACAGCUCCAGGUGGGAGAUAAACUCAGUUGAAUGACAAGAGAUGAAACGGCGACAGAGCUGGAGAACAGCAUGUGGAACUACUUAAGCCUCUCUUGAAAAAAUCUAAAACCUGUUACUGUAGAAAGGAUGAUGAAUACGUAGAAUUUAUAUUAAACCAUUUCAAAAAGAAACAAAGCUGUAGUUUGAUAUCAUCCAUCAGAGGAACUCCAAGUGCAUUACAAAUGGGGUGACCAGAUAGCAAGUGUGAAAAUCUGGACAGGGGGUGAGGGAUAAUAGGCACCUAUAUAAGACAAAGUCCUGAAUAUCAGGACAUCUGGUCACUCUAUUUACAAAUGCUUAUUGAUCUUCACAAAACUCCUGCCACAUAGGCAACCAUCAUUACAACCAUUUUACACAUUGGAAAAAUGAGGCAGAGAGGUUAAGUGAUUUUCUCAAGGCCUCAAAACAAUUCAUUGACACAACUGGGACUGGAUUCCAGUAGUCCAGAUUCCCAGUCUACCCUGCUCUAACUACUAGAGACCACUUCCUUCCCAGAACUGUGACUAGAACCCAGCUGUCUUGACUCCCAGCCUGCUCCUUGAAGCACUAGGCAGAUGUAAAACACAAUCCCCCAAUCAUCAUAUCACCUGUUUGAUGCUGUGACACGGCAGUUUCAGAUACUGUAUCAAAGCUGAGGUACUAAAAUGAAAAAUGUUCCCUCCCCGUCCAACCAACUUCCCUCUGUUUCUCUUCUCAUUUUAAAUAGAGCUGGUCAGGAAACUAUAUUUUUUUCCCCUGCAAAAAAUUUUUAUGAAAACCAAAAUUUUCAUUUUUUUGUCAAAUUUUCUUUGGCAUUACUUGGGUUUUCAGUGCCAGAUGAUCCUGGUUUUCUAAUGAAAGCCCAAUAAAUCUCAACAAAAAUGGAUGGUUUCUGUUAAAAUAUCCACAUUGUCAAAUAAAAUCGAUUUUUCGUUGAAAGAAAAGAUUCGGUAGAAAAUGUUUGACCUGCUCUAAUUUUAGUCUCUUUUCCGUUAUCCAGGAGUUCAUUCCAGAGGGCUGUGCCACACCUGGUUAUGUAGGCCAAUGCCUUUGCUUAGGAUUUGAAUGCAGUGUGAGUCAGAUAUUGAUAAAUAGCCUCAAACAGGAAGCAUAUCAGGCCUGUUUAUUUAUUGCUUUGGGCAGACAAGCUCUGAAAUGAUCCACCCCUCCCAGUUAGCAAUGGCUCAGAAGAAACCACCGUUUGAUUAACUGAUCAAUGGGAAAACAUAUUACUAGAUAUUAGUCAACUGAUCCGUGCAACUGAAUUGCCUAAAUGGCUGGGAAUGGACUCUUUUGCAAUGCAGUUUGAGGAUCAGUCUUUGAGGAAGGCAAGAGGCAGAAGUUCCACUACUGAAUAACUCAGGAGUGGCAUUAAUGAACAUCACUUGAGAACCACAUCCGGAUUUUCCCCAUCCACAAGGAACGGCUGGCCCAACACAGCAUUUCAUGGAAGGGUUACAGAGAACAAAUGAGGAGAUCCAGAGAUGAGUUCUUCCUGCCAAACAGCCCAGGAGCCCAACUGAAAUUGCAAUUGCGAGCAACAGUAUGGUUGACAAUUACCCAUUUUCCACUUCUAAAUGCUGAUUUGUACACACAAAUGUGGGCUUUACACGUGCAAGUCAGGCAGCCGCUUUGGAAAUCUGGGCCUUGUCUGUGGAACGCUUCUGAUCCCAUCUAUGCAAAAGGUGAUUUGCUUCAUUCUUUUUGCAACCAUUGCCACUCUCAGAACCACAGACCACAUGCCUUAGUCUGCUACCCGGCUUCCCUACCAGUCCCAGCAACUACAUUUUCCAGACACUAUUGCCUUUAUUAUGUAACUUCUACUCCAAGCGGGGAGCCAUCAAAUCAUUUACCUACCUGAACACGUGUUUAUUAGAGACAAAGUCCAAACGCAUCUGACCCUUGCCCGUAUAUGGGACAUGUGGAACUGGGAGAUGUGGCAAUGGGCCCUUCUGCUUUAGCAAUACAAGGAUGAAAACAGUGCUGUGCAACAUUUGGGGAAAUUUCGCUAUCUGGCAGAAAGUGGGCAUUUCCCUAUGUCUGACUGGGCUGGGCUUCUCUUGGAAAUGAAAUGCAAGAUACUUGAGCAAAACCAGCAUUUAAUCGAAUCGUAUCUGAGAAUUUCCCUCCAACUGUUAAAUAAGCAGGGCCGGAUUUCCAACACACACGACAGCCUGAUUUGCCUCUUUCUGGUCUUGUUGAUAAAGCUGUACCAGUUUAACUAAAGGUGGCAGGCUGUAUCGAUUUAGUUAAAAGGUGCAUCUUUGUAUGCGGACAAGCUUACAUGAGUUUAAACCUGGCUUGCGUUGGGUUAGCUUUCACGGAUGUAAGAGCCUUCAGCGCAAAGUUGCACCUGUUUAACUAAAUGGAUGCAAUGUCACAGUUUGAAUUAAGCCAGUGCUUAAACAGAGCAGAAACUGAGGGUGUGUCCGUCUGACAGUUCACUCCAACAUUUGCUACUGCCCUUCACAUCCUGCAGCACCCUGAGAGUUUCCCAUCCAAGGCCUGACACCGUGCUAGCCUGAGCGCCCUGACAGGAUCACAGGGCAAUAUGGUGUGACUGCAGGCGUAGACAAGCACAUGACAUCCUAUGUACUUAUUGAUGUGCCUUUAACAGCGCUGACGGCUGGAACGCUAAUGAUACCAAAGCAACACCACUAGGGCUAUACUACAAGCUGUGGAAUGUUUACAAACAUAAAGGGUCAUUAAAGAUCAACGCAAGGAGCUCAGCACAAGCCCUGAUGGUCAAUAUAACUUUACAACUCAGGAUCAUUAAUGAAACAACAGAUCAGCAGCCAGACCUACGUUCCUGACCUCCAUCCCUGCUGAUGUGUCUGCAGGCAUGAGCGACACAAUGCACCUGUGGGCUUUACUGCAGCAAUAAAGAUUACACAAGGACACUUUCCUCGCCACACAGGUCUUUGAUCGCAAAGGUCCCCGAUAAGGGCUCCAGCAUUUUCCUCUCUGGGACGGAGUGACAGGGUGAUAGGUCCAGCUUUGGCAAGAGUAGGGAGAGCGCAAAUUGCACGCUUAGAUGAUCCAAGCAGGUCUGAAGGGUUGAGGCGUGCACUCAUAAGGAGGAUGCAGAGGUAGAGAUGGGAUUCUGCUAACACAGUGAUUAAAAAAAUCCUGCAGCACUGAAUCUGCACCUGGGGCAGCUGACAUGGGCUCGGGUUGCGGGGGCUAUACAAUAUCAGCGCACAUGUUCAGGCUCAGACUGGAGCCCAGGCUCUGAGACGCUCCCCCUCUGGGGUUUCAGAACCCUGAGUCUGAACAUCUGCAUUACAAUUUUGUAGCCAAGCAGCCUGAGCCCCGUAAGCCCAAGUCAGCUGAUCCAGGCCAAUCACAGCUGUACCCUGGAUCUUUUCUCACAGUGCAGCCAUACCUUGAAGCUUCUGUUCCUCGCUUUGCCACUUACUUGGUGUGUAGCUUUAGUCAAGUCACUUCACCUCUCUGCUUCUGUUACCCCUCAUUGGGUAAGUCACUUCACCUCUCUGAGCCUUGGUUUCCACAUUUGUAAAAUGGGGAUAAUCGGGGUGGUGAGCUUUCAUUCAUUACUGUUUGGGAAGGUUUUGAGAUGUUCCGAUGGAGCGUGCUGUACACAGAUGCACAAAUGCCUAGAUAUUGAUGCUAUGGUGCCUGUGUUCUUUAUCAAGACUUAGAUAAAGGGAAAGGAAAUGAUGAGAUUUGCUAGCUUCCUUGGCUCUGCUCUCAAGCUACGUUAAUCUACAAUACCUGCACGUGACAAAUCCUUUCCUGUCACUUACUACGGCCUCGUAAUUGCAAUAUUUAUUUGACUGAAAUGAAAACUGAAAUCUUAAUAGCAAAUGACUAAUGCCACCAGCUGAUUAGCUGUUAUGCACUCCCAUCCUGUACACAAAUCACAGCGUUUAUGCACACCUGACCAAAUAAGAAAACAGUCUUAUUUGCACAGAACUAUGCGCUGUCCUGUCCUGUGGACAAUAAAGGUGUGACCUUUUUAAAAAGAGUGGGUAGUCAGAAAUUGUAAACCAUUUCCCUUCUUAUUCAGCACAACUUUGAGAUGCAGCUGCUCACUCUUCUGACCAAGACGUGUGUUUCCCUGCUGGCACUGUAGAGUCUACGCAGCUCUGGGACACAAGGCUGGAUUUUGUUGUGCCUGAAGCACAGCAGUAUUUUGUUGUUGUUGUUGCUGCUCUAGACCUGAUCAUGUCUAAUGGAAAAACACCACUUGCUUGUCAUCACAUUUGCUACGUGCAAUCCCACUAAGACAAAUCCUCAACAUUUUAGCUAACUUCCAACCCCCCACAUUCCUUGCCCGUUGCUAACAGGAUUAGACAGUCUGGCCCAGGUUGCAUUUAUUUAGUUUCAGAUUAAUUGUUUUCCCGGGGCCAAUGUACAUGGAUUCUUUUUCCUAGGGAACUAUCGCAAUCUCUCAGCCUUAUUUUCCUUGAAAACCCUUUAGCUUUGAUUAUGCAUCUUGCGCUUUAGUUAAAAUGGAUUUAUCCAUAUUCUCUGUAACAGUGAUGUCAGUGUGUCUGGCCCCCAGAUAUUGCUAGCUCUAAAAUAAUUUAAUUAAAAAGCAUGAUUCCUAUUUA